rnacentral:rRNA from 1 species
GACGAACGCUGGCGGCGUGCUUAACACAUGCAAGUCGAACGAAGUGGCGAACGGGUGAGUAACGCGUAAUCAACCUGCCCUUCAGAGGGGGCCAACAGUUGGAAACGACUGCUAAUACCGCAUACUGAAGGAGGGGAUUGCGUCUGAUUAGCUAGUGGGAGGGGUAACGGCCUAACUAGGCGAUGAACAGUAACCGGUGUGAGGGGAUGAACGGCCACAUUGGGACUGAGACACGGCCCAGACUCCUACGGGAGGCAGCAGUGGGGAAUCUUCCGCAAUGGACGAAAGUCUGACGGAGCAACGCCGCGUGAGUGAUGACGGCCUUCGGGUGGUAAAGCUCUGUUAAUCGGGACGCGGUACCGGAAGAGAAAGCCACGGCUAACUACGUGCCAGCAGCCGCGGUAAUAC